rnacentral:lncRNA from 7 species
AGUAGGCUCAAGGACUGUAGCUGUGGGCACACAUUAUUUGUGAUGAAGUGUCAUUCUAUUACCAGUGGAUUUUUUGGUUUUGUUUUGUUUUUUUAAAUAAAGCGGACUGUCCUUCCAGCAAUGACAGCUCAGACAAAUCCUAUAUGCUUCUGCAAUCUUAACUUCACCCUUUGGAUCCCCGUGAAUGCUACUUCUGCACAUCAGGAGUUGUGUUGCUGGCAAAGCGAGGGCGGUGGCAAUUGGUAUUAAUGGAAAUGGACAAACAACAGAUAUCCCUCCCACAGCCCCAGUACACAGCAGAGACUUGCAUUCCUGCAGACUAUCUUUAAUUCUGAAAAUACACAUUCAGCCCAAUGAAGAAAAAUGAAACUGGGUGCCUGGACUGAUAUGAAGGACAUCACUGAAUGUACAAUUGCAGGCAAUGAACAGUGUGUUGUUUGCUUCCUACCUACAACAGGUUUUAUCCACGUGACAUGCAUUUAAAUUACAGGAUAAGUUUGAAAUUAGAGGACAAGCAAAAAACCUUAAUAAUAAGAGAUAAAGGAAGAGACAGAAAAUGCAAACAACCCUCCCUAACCAUCCUCCUUACCACUCACCAGGAUACUCCUGUUUAAUCUUGCCUUGAGGUGUCAUUAAUAAACAUUACAUGGAGAGAU